GCCUUUGUGGUGUAGUGGUCAGCACGCUCGACGCGUAACCGAGAGGUCCGUGGUUCGAUUCCCGGCGAAGGGU
rnacentral:tRNA from 1 species